AGGCAGAAAUUAUUCAUUCUGGACCAGACCAACAUCAGCUUUGAAUGAGUCGCCUCCCCGAGAUGUCGAGGGCCUUAUGUGUCAAAACACCAGCGAUGAGAAGCGCCAACUUGAAAACCCUGCUGAUGUGUUGGCCUGCUGCCCAUCCAUCCAUGAGGUCAGGGAGUCGGGUCGUUACAGGUCGAGUGGUGGGGUAGGUAGUGUCGAUACCUGGAGUUCACACUAACAGAGGCCGGGUCUAUUAAAGAUGGCAGUACUUUUUGUUUGGGUCAGUGGUAGGCUAUGGGACUUGUUAGUGGAGACAAGAAACCUGCAUUGCGAUGCUUCUACAUUCCAAGUGUUAUAUCAAUUUAAAGGGAUAAAGAGAUUUAACACACGGCUGAAAGCAGACUGUGAUGGCUGCAACUAAAUCUGUCAGAGUAAAUGAUCCUGGUUAAUAUCAGCUUAUUUGUAUCACCUACAGGCUCAGAUUGCACUAAACUAUACUGAACCUCAUACUGAGAAGUUUCUAGGCAGGUAGAUCUUCUAUCAAUGAACAGGAAGCUCCUUUUUUGACACACAAGUAGCUGUUUCUUAAUUCCCUUCGUACCCACAGCCUGAAGUGACAUAAACCAAAGUAUAACCUUGAAGAUGACAUGUUUUCAGGCCUCUAUGGUUUAUUAAGUUGUAGUGGUGUGCAGUGCUUCAUCAGAGGGAAGCUUCUGGAGCACGUAAGUCACAAAACACAAGAAAACAUCCAAUCCAGGCCGCCAUGGAGCAGCUGCUCCCGUGUCCUGCAAGGUGAAGUGUUUUUAUAAAUGGAGCUUUAGAGAGCUUUGACUCAGUCUCUGUCAGGAUUCUUCCUCUUAUGUUGUCAGACUUAAAAUGACAAUCUCAGCUGAAAGGAGCAUUUUUAGUGGACGUUCUUUCACUGGACCCGUUGCCUCUACAGCCGGUCUCAGAGUUGCCGGCUGAAACGAUUCACUGCAGUAAUUCUAGAUCAGUAAGUCCCUGCAGUCAUUCAUACUUUAGAUCUGUCAAAAUACAGCCCAAGUUAAAAUAAUGCAGGAUGUCCCUUUAACAGCCUUGCAUUAAGCCCUGGCCUCAUUUUGGUACUGUUACAGCAGCAGAUUGAUUUCCAUUGUUUCAGAACGCCGGCCUGAGGUUUCACAUGCUUUUCAAUUCAUCUUGUAGGUUACAGUUAAGCUUUUCAAUCCAAUAAAUGUCACUGUCACAUUCCACAAUAAAUGUUUACAGCCUGGAUUUGGUCUUGAAGGCCCGAAGCUGCUGUAGUACAAAUAAACACCACAGGGUGUCAUUAAUCCGCUUAGAGCUCAGCCAAUCAAAAUGACACUGCUGCAGUGUGUGACACACAAAAAAACGACAGAUGCGGCUCAAAUUUUAUUCACAUUUAUUUUUGCUUUUAGUGUGCUCACAGAAAAUUAGAACACCUUUAAGCAGAGGAGUUUAAUAGCAAUUUUUUUUGUAAGCAAAGUUACAUUCCAUCUCUAAGUCAAACUGGUCAAAGCUUCUCCAGUAUUUACAAAAGGAAAAGGAAAAGAGAGAGAGAUAGAGAGACAAGAUGCUACACAAACAUUUGCAUCUGAUAGAUUCCUUAAAUUUUGUCAAAGACCACUGAAAAAGCAUUGCCUGCUGUAAUCAAAAAACAUACCACAGUAUAUAAACAGUUAAACCAUUCCACUUAUCACAGCUUGGUUUCAAAAUUGCUUGAGAAGGUCUUCCAGGACUACUUUUUUUGUGUGUGUUGUUAUCUUACAAAAAUGAGCGGGUGGAAAAAAGAGCUGCAAACUUCAUGUGCUUCUUGAGAUCAAGAUUUUUCAUUUUGUACAAUAAUCACAGUUAAAAACACCCCGCCUAUACAUACUUACAUUUUAUUAAGGUCGUAACCAACAAUAAACAAUAAAGCCUAUACAACUUGUAUUUCUACUGAAUCACUGACUGGUACAGCUAAUGAGAAGUGAGAAGCUCCUAUGAGUUUAUAUGUUUCCUAAAAGCUAACUCUGGGACUGCUGUCUUCUUGGAAAAAGGACUUAGUGUUGUAAACCGUUUGGAGUAUAUAGAUGUUGGUCUCAUAGUUUUUUGACUACUCUUUCAUAAUAGUCUGUGGCACAUUUCCCAGGCCCCCCUGCCCCCCCCUUGAACUCCCCCCUCCCCCUCAUUUACAGCUCCACCCCCUCCUCCUUCAUACCAUGGGCAUGUCCAUACCACUUUGUUUACAUUUUGUAUAAAAUUUUAAAGAAAAAAAAAACUUAAUACUGAUGAAAAAAUAUAUGGCAGAGUGUGGAUGUAUUAAUCUGUUGUACAUGUUGAAGCCACCCACCUCCCCAGCCCGUUGGAAUGGAAGUAACAAUGGACCAAGAUGGGUUUUGUGUAAGGGGGGAAUGUAAAAUCAAAAAUAAAGAAAAGCUUUAAAAUA